rnacentral:rRNA from 1 species
GAUGAACGCUGGCGGCGUGCCUAAUACAUGCAAGUCGAGCGAACAGACGAGGAGCUUGCUCCUCUGACGUUAGCGGCGGACGGGUGAGUAACACGUGGAUAACCUACCUAUAAGACUGGGAUAACUUCGGGAAACCGGAGCUAAUACCGGAUAAUAUAUUGAACCGCAUGGUUCAAUAGUGAAAGACGGUUUUGCUGUCACUUAUAGAUGGAUCCGCGCCGCAUUAGCUAGUUGGUAAGGUAACGGCUUACCAAGGCGACGAUGCGUAGCCGACCUGUGAGGGUGAUCGGCCGCACUGGAACUGAGACACGGUCCAGAAUCCUACGGGUAGCAGCAGUAGGGAAUCUUCCGCAAUGGGGGAAAGCCUGGCGGAACAACGCCGCGUGAGUGGUGAAGGUCUUCGGGUCGUAAAACUCUGUUAUUAGGGAAGAACAAAUGUGUAAGUAACUAUGCACGUCUUGACGGUACCUAAUCAGAAAGCCACGGCUAACUACGUG